rnacentral:rRNA from 1 species
UACGGAGGGUGCAAGCGUUACUCGGAAUCACUGGGCGUAAAGCGCGCGCAGGCGGGUUGAUAAGUUGGGUGUGAAAGCCUGCGGCUCAACCGCAGAACUGCACCCAAAACUGUCAGCCUAGAGUCUGGGAGAGGUGAGUGGAAUUAGUGGUGUAGGGGUAAAAUCCGUAGAGAUCACUAGGAAUACCGAAAGCGAAGGCGACUCACUGGAACAGUACUGACGCUGAGGCGCGAAAGCGUGGGGAGCAAACAGGAUUAGAUACCCUGGUAGUCCACGCCCUAAACGAUGAAUGUUAGUCGUUGCGGCGCAAGUCGUCGCAGUGAUGCAGCUAACGCAUUAAACAUUCCGCCUGGGGAGUACGGUCGCAAGAUUAAAACUCAAAGGAAUAGACGGGGACCCGCACAAGUGGUGGAGCAUGUGGUUUAAUUCGAAGAUACGCGAAGAACCUUACCCGGCCUUGACAUCCCGAGAAUCCUGCAGAGAUGCGGGAGUGCCUUUCGAGGAACUCGGUGACAGGUGCUGCACGGCUGUCGUCAGCUCGUGUCGUGAGAUGUUGGGUUAAGUCCCGCAACGAGCGCAACCCUCGGGGCUAGUUGCUAACGGUUCGGCCGAGCACUCUAGUCCGACUGCCUGGGCAACCAGGAGGAAGGUGAGGACGACGUCAAGUCAUCAUGGCCCUUACGGCCGGGGCGACACACGUGCUACAAUGGCCAGGACAAUGAGACGCGAUACCGCGAGGUGGAGCAAAUCUAUAAACCUGGUCUCAGUUCGGAUUGCAGUCUGCAACUCGACUGCAUGAAGCUGGAAUCACUAGUAAUCGUAGAUCAGCCAUGCUACGGUGAAUACGUUCCCGGGUC